AUACGUAGGGGACGAGCGUUGUCCGGAAUUACUGGGCGUAAAGGGCGCGCAGGCGGAUAUUUAAGUCAGCUGUAAAAGGCAUGAGCUCAACUCAUGUAUGCGGUUGAAACUGGGUAUCUAGAGUGCUGGAGAGGUAGGCGGAAUUCCCGGUGUAGCGGUGAGAUGCGUAGAUAUCGGGAAGAACACCAGUGGCGAAGGCGGUUUGCUGGCUGCAUACUGACGCUGAAGCGCGAAAGCCAGGGGAGCAAACGGGAUUAGAUACCCCGGUAGUCCUGGCAGUAAACGAUGUAUGCUGGGUGUGAGACUAGCGAUAGUUUCGUGCCGAAGUUAACGCGAUAAGCAUACCGCCUGGGGAGUACGGUCGCAAGAUUGAAACUUAAAGGAAUUGGCGGGG
rnacentral:rRNA from 1 species